rnacentral:rRNA from 1 species
UGGAGCUUUAACGGGAAGCCCCAACACAUUGCAAAGUCGAGCGGUAACAGAUCCAGCUUGCUGGAUGCUGACGAGCGGCGGACGGGUGAGUAAUGCAUAGGAAUCUACCCAGUAGAGGGGGAUAACCUGGGGAAACCCAGGCUAAUACCGCAUACGUCCUACGGGAGAAAGGGGGCUUUGGCUCCCGCUAUCGGAUGAGCCUAUGCCGGAUUAGCUGGUUGGUGAGGUAACGGCUCACCAAGGCGACGAUCCGUAGCUGGUCUGAGAGGAUGAUCAGCCACAUCGGGACUGAGACACGGCCCGAACUCCUACGGGAGGCAGCAGUGGGGAAUAUUGGACAAUGGGGGCAACCCUGAUCCAGCCAUGCCGCGUGUGUGAAGAAGGCCCUCGGGUUGUAAAGCACUUUCAGCGAGGAAGAACGCCUGGUGGUUAAUACCCGCCAGGAAAGACAUCACUCGCAGAAGAAGCACCGGCUAACUCCGUGCCAGCAGCCGCGGUAAUACGGAGGGUGCAAGCGUUAAUCGGAAUUACUGGGCGUAAAGCGCGCGUAGGUGGCUUGAUAAGCCGGUUGUGAAAGCCCCGGGCUCAACCUGGGAACGGCAUCCGGAACUAUCAGGCUAGAGUGCAGGAGAGGAAGGUAGAAUUCCCGGUGUAGCGGUGAAAUGCGUAGAGAUCGGGAGGAAUACCAGUGGCGAAGGCGGCCUUCUGGACUGACACUGACACUGAGGUGCGAAAGCGUGGGUAGCAAACAGGAUUAGAUACCCUGGUAGUCCACGCCGUAAACGAUGUCGACCCAGCCGUUGGGUGCCUAGCGCACUUUGUGGCGAAGUUAACGCGAUAAGUCGACCG